GACGAACGCUGGCGGCGCGCCUAACACAUGCAAGUCGAACGAGCGAGAGAGAGCUUGCUUUCUCGAGCGAGUGGCGAACGGGUGAGUAACGCGUGAGGAAUCUGCCUCAAAGAGGGGGACAACAGUUGGAAACGACUGCUAAUACCGCAUAAGCCCACGGUGCCGCAUGGCACAGAGGGAAAAGGAGUAAUCCGCUUUGAGAUGGCCUCGCGUCCGAUUAGCUAGUUGGUGAGGUAACGGCCCACCAAGGCGACGAUCGGUAGCCGGACUGAGAGGUUGAACGGCCACAUUGGGACUGAGACACGGCCCAGACUCCUACGGGAGGCAGCAGUGGGGAAUAUUGCACAAUGGGGGAAACCCUGAUGCAGCGACGCCGCGUGGAGGAAGAAGGUCUUCGGAUUGUAAACUCCUGUUGUUGGGGAAGAUAAUGACG
rnacentral:rRNA from 1 species